rnacentral:rRNA from 1 species
UACGUAGGGUGCAAGCGUUGUCCGGAAUCACUGGGCGUAAAGGGUGCGUAGGCGGGUCUUUUAAGUCAGGGGUGAAAUCCUGGAGCUCAACUCCAGAACUGCCUUUGAUACUGAAGAUCUUGAGUCCGGGAGAGGUGAGUGGAACUGCGAGUGUAGAGGUGAAAUUCGUAGAUAUUCGCAAGAACACCAGUGGCGAAGGCGGCUCACUGGCCCGGUACUGACGCUGAGGCACGAAAGCGUGGGGAGCAAACAGGG